CGCGAGCCGAGCGAACCAAAUUGACCUGCACUAGUGCGGUGUGAACUAGACGUGGAUUUGAUACCGGAUCGUCCGAUCAUGUUCCUUCGAUCCUUCAUCGCCCGCCAUGUGUGCCGCUUGCCAUUGUCCGAUAUAUCAGACUGGGCCAGUUCGUGGCAAGACGACUACCGCCGUCGUGUUAUCGGAUUUGCAUUGCAGUUCGUUGACUGAACGAAGCUGACUCUCUCGUUGCAUUGACUGUAUACCGACGAGAGAUAUCCGUGGAGCUUUGUACGAAAUUCGAAAACGAAAAUCACGGUUCAACCGUCUACGCGAAAAGAAGCCACCGAAGGAACUACCAGCGUACGAAUAAAAUCAAGGAAUUGAUUAAUAGAGUUACGAUAUAAACAAGUCGAGACAAGUGUACAUACUCCGAGAACUGCCAAAUCGUCCCCGAUAUCCUGCUCUGUGUCGCCGUAAAGUCUUCGAAGCUUUUGCUCGUUGAAGCUAUACAAGGAACAGUCGGUAAUAGUCGACAGGGGUGGCCAUAGGUAUAGUCGUACCCUAGCCGCCGAUGCUUUCCUCAAAAUCGUUCAACGACGUCGACUCGAGCUCGUCGCUCAUUGCACGAACGACGACGACGAGCGUGACAGUACCGAGAACCGACGACUUCCGGACAUCGCGGAAGUUCGUUGCCGGCCACGCACGUCCCCGAGGAUGGAAUUGAGAGCCUCGCAGCCGAUAAGCGCGCUAGCACCGAUCAUUUUCGAGUACACGACGAAUCGUUGGACAAUCGAAACGAAACAACAGAGGGUGAAUAGUGGGUUAUACUGGGAGUUGGGUGUGGAUAAAGAAGGUGGAAAGACUGAGAGCAGAUACAGCAGGGAGGAGAAAUCUUGGAGAUCGAAGGAAAAAGAAGACGGAAGCAGCAAGGAAGACGCGCGAGAGGGCUUUCUCGACGCGAAAGAAGAAGUCGCUAGAUCGGGAACAGUGAUAAACGAAAGUCCGAAGAAGCAAGAAAGUCGUAGAGAGGAUAGGGCGAUAGAAGACACAGAGGAGAGGAAAGAUACGAGAGAGGGAGAAGAGAAGAAGAAGGAAAAUAAAGAUAUAGAGCGAGAGGGAAGGGAAGAAGAAGAAGAAGAGGGACGUCCCCUGGCAGGAGGGCCCCACAGAUGCGGGGGGAGGGGCCAGUCCGCGGCGGCGUGACGCGAUGCGGACGUCCUCCUCCUCGUCUCCGAGGAAGAGGAAGAGGAAAUACCUCUCGCCUCUCGAUCCUAUCGAAAAGCUGCCUCUCUUGGACAAUAGUUUCGGCCUGUCGUUUAUCUUCCACGAUGUUUACGACGAGCGUGUCAACACUGUCUUCCACUGUGCUCCGGUGUACCAGCGGUGCCUUUGGCCGGAAGCUGUUGCCGAGAAGCGUCGGCCGUCUACCGAGCUCGCAAUUCGUUCAUCGGUUGAUCAAAUUUUCGGCAACGAGCCGGGAUCGUGGCAUUUUUGCAACGACGACGGCGACUCGAGGAAAAACGGUAUCGUCGGGAAAGGAGGGGAGUGGAGGGAAGGAUUUGUACAGACUCGUUGCGAGAAUAGAGCAGACAGAUCGAAAAAGUGUUUGGCAACGAUCGUCGUGUUCCUCGGACUGUUGUGCGGACAUUGGUGCUCUGGUGGAGCGGAGGCACUUGCUGGUAGCCAGAAAUACAGCACGAGAACGGUCAGGACCAGGUACGGCACGUUGCGCGGCGUCGAGGACAGAUCAUCCACGUCUGUCGAGACUUAUUACGGCGUGCCAUACGCCACGCCGCCAAUUGGAGCGUUGCGAUACAUGCCACCGGUUACGCCGACACCGUGGCGCGGCAUCAAGCUGGCGGAUACCAUGCCACCCGCGUGUCCUCAGAAGCCACCGGAACCGGACUCGAGUCUGCCGCGGUCCAAACGGGCUUACCUCGAGAGGCUAGCACCGUUGCUGGCCAACCAGAGCGAAGACUGCCUAUACUUAAACCUCUAUGUGCCCAAAUCUCCUCACGGUAGUACCCCAGACUUAUUACCAGCCCUUCUUCUAAUUCACGGUGAUUCCUAUUCAUGGGGCGCUGGAAAUUCCUUCGACGGCACUGCGUUGGCUGCUUAUGGUCGUCUUAUCGUCGUUUCUAUUAAUUUUCGUCUUGGUGUACUCGGCUUCCUUAAAACAGGUCCGAAAGGGAGCGCGCAAGGAAAUUACGGAUUGAUGGAUCUAGUGGCAGGCCUUCACUGGUUACACGAGAAUCUCGGCGCUUUCGGCGGCGACCCCGAUCGAUUGACGCUCUUUGGCCACGGUACAGGAGCCGCGCUCGCCAACUUUUUAGCCGUCUCACCAAUGGCAAGAGAGCUGGUCGAGAGAGUAGUUUUACUCGGCGGUUCUGCCUUGUCACCCUGGGCUAUACAGCGUGAUCCGUUAACGGCGAAACGUCACGUCGCCAAUCAGACCGAAUGCUCUGGUGACGUGGAGGCUGACGAUAUCGCACCGUGCCUUCGUUUGCGGAGUUUGGAAGAGCUUCUGGCCGUGCAGUGGGAUACCCCGAGAUUCACUUCCGGAUUUGCUCCUUUCGUCGAUGGGGCGGUCAUGCCUCCACCGAUCAAUCAGAAUUUCCAACCGACUGCCUCCUCCUCGGGACUGAUGCCUCUGAUACCUGGACCAGGCACCGAGUUUGCUAAUUUCGGCGAUCGAGAUCUCCUGUUGGGAUUGACGUCCGAGGAAGCUUGGAUAAACCUCACCGACGACGAUCUACAGAACGGAUUGAACGAGACCAGGAGGGAUCGUAUUUUACGCACUUACGUGCGAAACACCUAUCGUUACCACCUUCACGAGAUCUACUCGACCCUCCGUAACGAGUACACGGACUGGGAGAGAGGCGAGCAGAGUCCGUCAGCGAUCUGCGAGGGCCUCCUGUCCCUGCUCGGCGACGGUCAGGUCGCUGCUCCUCUCCUAAGGCUCGCAUUGCUGCACUCGGCGUCCGGAGGACGUGGUUACUUUUUGCAUUUUCAGCUCGGCGACCGACCAAGUCAGAGGGGCGAGGAGGUGCCCUAUCUUUUGGGGAUACCUCUUCUCCGCGGAGAGGUGGUGUCCGUUCUCUUCGCCCAAGCCAACUACACUUUGGCCGAUGAGAACCUGUCCAAACUGCUGGUCCACUACUUGGCCAACUUCGUAAGACGCGGGGACCCGAACGGCGUCAGCCCGUUGACAUCGGGAUCCGACGGGCUUCCGACCAGCCCGCCGUUUUGGGAUUCGUACGAUUCGAUAAAUCAGCUGUACCUAGAGGCCGGUCGUAGCACGGAAAUGCGGUCGCAUUACAGGGGCCACAAGAUGUCUCUGUGGUUGAAUCUGUUGCCGCAACUCCAUCGACCCGGAUACGAAAUCAGCAUGCGUCACCAUCAUCUGGUCGACAGCCCUAGCCUGUACGAAGGUGCGGUGCGCCAGCAGACCGAAGCGCUGCCGUUGCCAGCGCCUCCGCUCCCGGUACCGUCACCCACCGAGCCAUCCUCGAUCUCGAGCGCGAUAUCGACCACCGAGUGUACGCCGAACGCUACGGUCGCGACCACCGUGGCGACUACCUCGAGAACUUUGCAGCAUCCGAACCUGGGCCCAGCGCCUAACAAUCUUCUUAGAAAGCUGGCCUCCAGUCAUUAUCAAAGCUACACCACAGCCCUCACAGUCACCAUAGCCGUUGGCGUGUUUCUCUUGUUACUGAACAUUCUCAUUUUCGCCGGCAUCUACCAUCAGAGGGACAGGAACGCUUCGAACGCGGCCGGAGGUUUAUCUUCGGGCUUUGGAGAUAAGAAGAAGGAGGAGCUAUUGGAAGCAGGGUGUUCCGGUAUCGAGGUGUCCUCGGGAAAACAGAGGCUAUCUUCCUUGAAUCUGAUGGACUCGCCGUCUUCGAGUCCGCCACCGCAUAAAGCGAAACUGGCGCAGGAGUUGGAAUUACAGUUGCAGGAGUUUCAAUGUUCUCCGCCUCCAGGCGGAGGCAAGAGAGUGUUAGAACCACCGUUGUACAGUAGAAGUCCGUGCGUCCAGAGGACGCGCACUCCAUCGCCUUGCGUAGACGCGACCACUGCCAGGACGAAGACGACGACGACGACGACGACGACGACGACGACGAUGACGACGACGACGACGGCGACGACGACGGGGAUAGCGGCAGCGACGAUAACGACGACGAGAAUCUUCCAGAACCUCCACCGCCUCCGAAAGCUCCAGCACCCAACGUCAGCCUGUCCUGUCCAGGAAUCCUCAGGCAACCUGGCACACCCGGUAGCGCCAAGAAACGUGUUCAGAUCCAAGAAAUUUCCGUAUGAGGAGAGUACCUUCUUGCAAUCUCUUUUUGCCGAAAACUCGUUCACCGGCCCAUUCCGACCAUUCGUAGUAAACCCGUCGAGCGAUCCUCGAUCGUCGCUACUGCUGGCGGUAGUCGACCAACAGCUUCGACCAAGAAGAAAUUCAGCGUUUCGAGCGUUCCAAGCCAAAGUCCGUUGUUGCAACGCGCCAUAACUUUCAGACGUUGCAUAUUCGGCUCUGUCGGGAGUUUCUUCGCGCUUAAGAAUUUGAGAUUCUGCAUAGGCCUAGUUGCAAGAGGAUUGGCAGUUUCAAGCGCGUGCUUUCGAAAGAGAAAAGUCGGCGUUUACGGUUUUACGUCGCGCUCGAGAGAAUAUUCGUAGCCGAAGAUCGACGCCAGUUUCGCAUCUAUCUUCGAAGAAUCGAUAAACGGAUUAACGAAGACACGUAAGACGGCAAAUAAAAGCACAAAUCGAUGGCCUUAAAAGAAUUCGAUACUCGAAGCGAUAUAAUAGACGCGACGGGAAGCAACGUCAAAGUCGAAUCAGGCAACCCACGUUCCUACGAGAUUCGACGGGGAGAUAUUUUCCAAUAUUUCUCACAACUCGACGAAAAGCGGAGAAAAGGAGGAAGCAACGGAACGGACAAGCGAUAACGACGUAUAAACAA